UACAGAGGGGGCAAGCGUUGUUCGGAAUUACUGGGCGUAAAGGGCGCGUAGGCGGCCUGUUAGGUCGGACGUGAAAUCCCCGGGCUCAACCCGGGAACUGCGUCCGAUACUGGCAGGCUUGAAUCCGGGAGAGGGAUGCGGAAUUCCAGGUGUAGCGGUGAAAUGCGUAGAUAUCUGGAGGAACACCGGUGGCGAAGGCGGCAUCCUGGACCGGCAUUGACGCUGAGGCGCGAAAGCCAGGGGAGCAAACGGG
rnacentral:rRNA from 1 species